UGGGGAAUUUUGGACAAUGGGCGAAAGCCUGAUCCAGCCAUGCCGCGUGAGUGUAGAAGGCCUUCGGGUUGUAAAGCUCUUUUAGUCGGAAAGAAAGAGUUGCAAUGAAUAAUUGUGAUUUAUGACGGUACCGACAGAAAAAGCACCGGCUAACUACGUGCCAGCAGCCGCGGUAAUACGUAGGGUGCGAGCGUUAAUCGGAAUUACUGGGCGUAAAGGGUGCGCAGGCGGUCUUGCAAGUCAGAUGUGAAAGCCCCGGGCUUAACCUGGGAAUUGCGUUUGAAACUACAGGGCUAGAGUGCAGCAGAGGGGAGUGGAAUUCCAUGUGUAGCAGUGAAAUGCGUAGAGAUGUGGAAGAACACCGAUGGUGAAGGCAGCUCCCUGGGUUGACACUGACGCUCAUGCACGAAAGCGUGGGGAGCAAACA
rnacentral:rRNA from 1 species